GGAGGGGAGAGGAAGUCCUACACUUCAGGACUUCUCUCAAGCGCAUCAGACGCUACUUCUGAGAGGAGGCAGAGGACCUUUGCCACCAGUGAGGAGCGAUCCAGAGGUGACCAGGCGGAGAGGUGGAGCCCCGGUGUUUGUAUGCGAGCGGGGUGAAGACGGAGGCCCUCCUGUCUGUGGGUCAGCCCAUGAGAGAAGAUGAAGAGCCAAAUCACCAACGCUCUCUCCGACUUCUUCUUUGAGUAUGAGACCCCGCGCCAGGUGCUGGUGAGGAACAGGAGGGUGGGAGUGGUGUGCCGUCUGAUCCAGCUGGGGGUCCUGGCCUACAUCAUCGGGUGGGUGUUCAUCUACGAGAAGGGCUACCAGUCCACGGACACAGCAGUGAGCUCCGUCUUCAGUAAAAUGAAGGGAGUGGGCUACACCAACGUGAACGGAAGCGAGCGAGUCUGGGACGUGGCCGACUACGUCUUCCCUUCGCAGGGUGACUCGUCAUUUGUGGUGAUGACAAACUACAUCAUCACUGAGGGUCAGAAGAUGGGAAAGUGUCCAGAGCUCCAAGGCAAGCACAACUGCAGCUCCGACGCCGACUGUGAAGGAGGGAGUUUCAAACGUACGGGACAUGGACAAAUGACGGGAGUCUGUGUGAAUAGCACUAAGACCUGUGAGGUGCUGGCUUGGUGCCCUGUUGAGGAUGAUCACAACAUACCAGACCCUCCUCUGUUGAUGUCUGCAGAGAACUACACACUCUUCAUCAAGAAUUCUGUAACUUUCCCCUUAUUUGGGGUCACAAGGAGUAACUUGGUGGAGGGUGUUGAUGCUGCUUACAUCAGCAAAUGCCUUCAUAAUCCAGAGGAUGCUCCACUGUGUCCCAUAUUCAGAUUGGGAGACGUAGUUAAACUGUCUGGCUUCAAUUUUGAAACAAUAGCCCGAGUGGGAGGGGCCAUUGGUAUUGUGGUCGACUGGACGUGUAACUUUGAUGUGGACGUGACACACUGUAAGCCAAAGUACAACUUCCACGGCCUGUACGGAAACCCUGCUGAGACAGACAAAGCCAGAGCUUCAGUGGGCUACAACUUCAGGUAUGCAAAGCAUUAUUUGGAGGACAAGGUUCAGAAAAGAACCCUUCUCAAAGUGUUUGGGAUCAGGAUCGAUAUCAUUGUGCAGUCACUGGCAAGAAAAUUUGAUAUAAUCCCCACGCUGACAGCUAUAGGCUCUGGAGUGGGCAUAUUCGGAGUGGCCACUGUGGUUUGUGACUUGGUGCUGCUCUAUUUGCUACCAAAAAGAGAAUUUUACAAGAACAUGAAAUUCAAAUACACAGACACGCACAUGCAGCGUGACAGCGAGUCGCUUGGUUUAGACACAAGCGUCUAUUACGCCCUCGAAGCAAAUGCAAGACAAGUCCGAGGCACUGACCAGUCCAACGUGAGUGCAUGUAGAGGUCUAGACCGUGGACUCGAUUUUGUUUUAAUGUGUCCCUCCCUAAUGAGAAUCCCUCUGGUUGUUACCUGAGAGGUCUAAAUCCUGUCCUGUGGAUUUGACUUUUAUCCCACAGGACCCUGACUCAGAGGCAGGUAGCACAGAGACUGAGGUAUCUAAAAAGUGACCUGGGAGCAAACUUACAAGGUACUACUUCCAAGAUGUGCAGUACUGGAAACCUGCAAAUGCCUGCAACACGCACACUCUCACAAACAAAAUGGACUUUGGGGCUGAAGAGGACACAGUCAAAUGACAUUGAUCCACAUGUCCUCCAUUUCUCCUUGAUCUUCAGCAGCAUCUUCUACCAACAACGUCUUUGCUCUCUUCAGAGACAGUGACUCUUACUAAUCUAUGUGGAGCCCUAGCGUAGCUCAGCUGUGUACCUUUUUGGGUGUAGCUCGAUUUGUUUUUGUUCACACUUUGGGUGUAGCCUCCGCCUCCUAACUGUCUCCAUCUACGUGCAGCUGAAAGAAGAAUUUCUUGUGCUGCAGUGCUCCUGUGUGUACACAAAUCAUCCAUUGAUUGUCUCUGUCUAAACCAGAUAAACACGCUUAACAUGUGGAUGCGCCGCUGUCAGGGGGACCCGUCCCCAAUGUGCACCUUGUGAUGAAAGCUGAAUUCAAUAAAAGAUGU